UCCUGCUCGUCAUUGGCAAUGCACUAACGUGCAGUCCAUAAAAAAAAAAAAAAAAAAAAACUUCAAGAAUUCCCCGGUCGGUUU